rnacentral:ncRNA from 1 species
GAAUUUGGUUUGGUUCCUAAGAAAAAAUUUCUAGUUUUUUUAUACUAUUUAUAAAAAAAAAUCAUAGUAGAAAAUUUAUUUUAUUUAAUAACAAAAAAUUAUUAAGAAUUAGAAAAUAAUCUAGCUAAAUUUGUGCCAGCAGCAGCGGUUAAACAAAUAGAAAAAUUCUUUUUUUAAGAAAUUUAAUAAAUUAAAUUAAAAUAUUGUUAAAAAUUAAGGUGAAAUUUUUUUUUAAAAAUUUAUGAAAAUAUAAUAAAAAUUCUUAAAUUAAACUAGGAUUAGAUACCCUAUUAUUUAAGAGCCUAAUGUUGUUAGUAAAUAAAAAUUAUGAAAGCAAAAAAUUAUGGCGGUAUUUUAAGCUUUUCAGAGGAAUUUGCUCUUUAAUGGAUAAAACACCUAAAUCUUACUUGAAUUUGUUAAAUCAAUUUGUAUACCACUAUAAAAACAAUUAAUAACUUUAAUUGUUAAAAUUUAUUGAAUUAAAUUAUGUUAAGUCAAGGUGCAGUAAAAAUUUAAGAAUGAAGUGAAUUACAUUUCUUUUCAGAAAUAAAAAAUUAAAUUUACAUAUAGGAUUUGAAAGUAAAAUUAAAAUAGAAUGUUAAUUUGAAUAAAGCUCUAAAAUAUGUACAUAUCGCCCGUCACUCUUUUACAAGAUAAGUCGUAACAAAGUUAAAGUACUGGAAAGUGCUUU